AGAGCUUAUGUUAGCAGUUGUGUGUGCGAAAAUUGGAAUGGGUCAGAGUUAGCAUGGCCUCUGCACAAGGAUAACAUGAAAGUUCAUGAAGUGUUUCAUAGUUUU